UACGUAGGGGGCGAGCGUUGUCCGGAAUUAUUGGGCGUAAAGAGCUCGUAGGCGGUUCGGCAAGUCGGGUGUGAAAUUUCGAGGCUCAACCUCGAAACGCCACUCGAUACUGCUGUGACUGGAGUCCGGUAGAGGAGUGCGGAAUUCCUGGUGUAGCGGUGAAAUGCGCAGAUAUCAGGAGGAACACCAACGGCGAAGGCAGCACUCUGGGCCGGUACUGACGCUGAGGAGCGAAAGCGUGGGGAGCAAACAGG
rnacentral:rRNA from 1 species